GAGGACAAACAAAGAAGUGGCAGACCUAAAAAACUAUCUACAGCAGAUGAAGAGUAUCUGGAACUCAUGAUCUUAAGAAGCAGGAAAAAAUCUAGAAAAGACCUAGCUGGACCUUCAGUUGAUCCAUCUGUUGUUCACUGAAGCCACAAAAGAGUGGCUGUCAAUUCAUUCCUAAAGCGUCCCAGAGCCUGGACCUCAUUACUGAAGCUUUUUGGGAUCAAAUUGAGAGAGAAUGGAACAAAAGGCAGCCAACAUCCAAAGAUCUCAAACUUUCAAACCAACGUUAUAUUUUCCUAGCAAAAUAUAAAGAACUGUCACUCACUGCCUCCAAAUCAGAUCCUCACAAUGCCUUAUGUACUUUAUUUGCAAGGUCUAGAAGAUUUGAGUAACAUUUGUCCCAGGGGAAUAUCUUCGAGUUGAUGUUGCGACUUCUGCACAAAUCUUUUCAGCAGUAUUGUGUUAUUGAUUGGAUCCAGAUUGGUGCUGAGGAAACAAAAGUAGAAUGGUGACAGUUAAGAAAAUG